UCGGGUAUGGUGUAACGGCUAACAUUGCCGCCUUUCACGAAUAUAAUUUCCGUAUACUGAGCGCGGCAGCUCGGGGUUCGAUUCCCCGUACCCGAA